UGGGGAAUCUUGCGCAAUGGGCGAAAGCCUGACGCAGCGACGCCGCGUGAGUGAUGAAGGCCUUCGGGUUGUAAAGCUCUGUGGGGAGAGACGAAUAAGUCAGGGUGAACAAUCCUGGUGAUGACGGUAUCUCCUUAGCAAGCACCGGCUAACUCUGUGCCAGCAGCCGCGGUAAGACAGAGGGUGCAAACGUUGUUCGGAAUUACUGGGCGUAAAGCGUGUGUAGGCGGCUAGGCAAGUCGGAUGUGAAAUCCCCGGGCUCAACCCGGGAAGAGCAUUCGAUACUGCUUGGCUGGAGUAUCGGAGAGGUUGGUAGAAUUCCCGGUGUAGAGGUGAAAUUCGUAGAUAUCGGGAGGAAUACCGGCGGCGAAGGCGGCCAACUGGACGAAUACUGACGCUG
rnacentral:rRNA from 1 species